GUAGCAGUGAGCUGGGAGCCCGAGUCCCCCUUCCUGGCUGUGUCUGUAACCCAGACUCUGAGUUCUGCGCACCUCCCCCGACAGCCUCUUUCUGGGAUCGCUCAUCUGCAAAGUGGCCAACAGUACCCAGACUUCCUCAAAGAAGAUGCCCAGCUCGGGUUGCUGACUCAGAGAGUGGCGUGCCGUCAGGAGGCAGGACUGGCUGUCAGGAGAUGGCUGACAACCUGGGGUGCGAUUUCAGGGCAGCGGUGCAGGGAUGGGGGCAGCUGGCUGGCCAGCCUCUUGGGAAGAGGCAACAGGGGCCCCAUGUUCCAACUUAGAAUUCCUGGAGAUGUUUCAGCAGGAACGUCUAAAAAAUCUUCAUUUUGCAAAAAGCCACACUCCUUACAAACUUGUAUACAGUUGUAAGCAAUGUUGCAAGUAGGCUCUUCUGUUUCCUCAUUUGCAAAAUGAGGACAUGAGAAAAGAAACACAGGUCAGGAGAGAUGGAUGCACAGCAUACAGCCCUCAAACUAAUAAAAAACUUACCUGGAACACUGUGCCUGCAUGAGGGCCCAUCACCCCAGUGACUGUAAAUAAAGUUAUCCCCGGCACCUGGGGCACAGUUAGUGCUUAAUAAAUGUUGAAUGAACAAUGAAUGCACAGGAACCAUUUUUAAAAGGAUCUGCCACUUUCCCUGCUUCCUUGAGCCACACAAAGCAAGUGUAUAUAUAGAAACCACCCCAGCCGCGCAUUCGAGUAACGUGAGAGCAAAUCACGAAGAAGCCCAGCUAUGUCCACCUGCCAGGGAAGCUCCCAGCUGUUGGUGUCAAGGACUGGCGUGAAGUAACAUGGAACCUCCACACUGAUGAGACAGAUUGCUGUUGUUUUUAAGCAAACCAUCACAGUGGCUCGGGGCUUCCCUCGAAGAAACCCCACACCUUCGGCCAAGAGACAAGGAACCUGGUAGGCAGAGCUGCAUCCUCCAGGCUGCACUGUCACAGACAUCUUCUAGGCCAUCUGCAAACAGCUCUCAGGAGCCCACAGGCUGACAGGCGGCGUCCGGAGAUGAUCAGAUUUCUAUCAGUGCCGACACAUGGCACUUCUCUCUGGCUCCCAUUCAAGACACCACUCCUUCCUGAACAAUCAAGCCUUUAAGGAUAUGGCCCUGUAUCCGUGGUACACACUGCCUCACCAGUGUUCUGCCUGCCGCUGACAAACCCCCCGACAUGGUCUCGAUUUCCCUGUUCCCCCUUCCUCUCAAAGAUGGGCGCACACAUUCAUCUCCAUCCCAGCCAAUCAGGCAACACUGUCCCCAGACUCUCAACACCACAACAGUCUUCCUCCUGACCUUCAGAGAACAACCCCCCGCUAGCUGAUUUUUCCUUCAGCACAGUGGCGUCAACUUGUUUCGGACUCUAAGUUCAAAACCACUGGCCUAACAUCCUGGUGAUUCCAUGCAUACUAAGAAGUCAGGAUGUGAUGCCCCCUGUGGAGGGAACACAGGGAAUGCUGGGCACCAGUCACACUGUGUUUCUUGAUCUGGGUGCUGCUGACUGCAAAGGCGU